ACUGAUGAGCCCUUGUGAACCGGUCAUAUCGGUCCUUGCCUUGGUGGGGAAAGGCACAGCGAAAUGAUACGGGGUGUGAAAGUCAC
rnacentral:rRNA from 1 species